UACUUUUCAUCGUCUGACAUAACUUAAGCAAGCCAUGACAAGAGUUAGAUUUAUUGAAAAUUAAAAGUUUUUGGGAUUUUUCAUAAUUCCAGCUAUGUAUGUGAGUAUUUAUAGCUUCUGGCGAUCAGUAGGAUGUGCGUUUUUCCAACAUUCGCGUCCAAAAUCUGCACGCUGGUUAUUAUACCCAUUGCUAUAAUCUUUUCUGGGGCAGAAAUAGUGGAGAUAAUUGUACAUUUGUGCAAGCCGGAAUCUCUAGAAAACAUACUCUAUUUGAAUCUCAUAGUUGGCAUUGUGUAUUUCGUUGGACUGUGCGUUGGAUUUUAUGCAGCUCUUUACAGACACGUAAUAUGUAUACAACUGUUUUUCAGAUGCUGUUCGUUAUUGCAGCUUACGUGCUGGUGAAGUCUUUCAUCUGGAUUACCUCUAUGAAUAGUAGCACAACCGACGAUGAAAAAAUUGUCCAUGUUUGUUUCCAGGCCAGCUUUGUGGCUUCGGUGCUGACCUUUCUCUUGGCUUUCAUAUAUUGUCUGCGACUGAAGGAACUCCAAAAUAUCGAACCGUACUAAUAUAAAAUUCAGCAUGGGUCGUAAUGUUUACUUUUAUAGAUAUGCAAUUGAGGUUUUGUUAUUCAAUGGAUUCAAAAAAUACUCCUUUAGAGGUUUGGGAACACAAAUUAAGAAUCUUUAAAAACAAUGCAAACUUUUCCUUUACUCACACUUUAACCUUAAAGUUUUUCCCCCAUUACUACAGAGGCCAUAGAGUGCCAAUGAAGUUGUUGUUGAUAUCGGCAGGCGUGGCAAUUUGCGGGCUGCGUGGGUAAUCAAAUUACAUGCGGAAUUAUGGACACCCGCAGGACGAUAAUGGCAGCCAAUAAAGAUGACAAUGACAAGAUAAGCGCAGGACCCGUGACCCUUGCUGCGGGGUGGAAAGUCGUCAUCGUCAUCGUCAUCUGGCGACUCCUCUUUGCGCAGCUUUAAAUGAAAUUUAACGAUGCCCACAAAUAAUGAUGCUUUGCAUUUUAAAACACUUUUCCCAGCCAUCCGUUGGGUUGGUCAGAAGUCAGAGAAGUCUGAAAAGUGAGCAGGACAUUUUCGAUUGGGGUCCUGGAGUCCGAUGCUCAUUACACGCACUCCACUCGACACUUUUAUUGGCAGAAGGAAGAGCGGAAUGGCUGAAAAUGCGGGUCAUUUUAUGGCAAGUAACAUCCGAUGCCGAUAAGGGUAUUAAAUUUGCUUCGCCAUAAAGUCGCUGGUCACAUCACUCAGCAUUUGGCCAAUUACGCAAAUAAAAGUAUGCGGCGCCCUCUCCUUCCAGGAAAAAAAAAACGUGAACGUGUCAAAGUGCUGGAAAAUGCAGCGCUUUUUCAAGGAUGUGGUGGAGUGGCUCAUUAGAGGUGUGUUCUGCUGCCCCCAGGUCCUGCCGGCAAAUUGUGUGGAAAAACGCAAGCUAAACUGGCACUCAAAAGCAACCUCACACUUUCCCUUUACCCCGCUGGCAAAUAAAACAAAGAAAAAA